AAAAUUUAAAAAUUUAGAUAUUUGUUGAUUUAAUAAUAUUUUAGCAUUUUAUUAUAUAUUAUUAUUUUUAGUUAACCUAAACCUAUCAGAAUACGAUAUCUCAUAAUCUUUUUAUCAAACCCUAAACUAUCAUAGUUUUAUUUUUCCUCUCCAAACCAAUUAGUCAAAGCCUCAUUCUUCUUCAUGCUUGCUCCUCUCAAACCUUCCACAAUUCUUCUUAUUUUCUACCUUCAUUCUUAAAGUUUUGAAUUUAUAAUCAAGGCUUGCGGGCUUGAGACAUCGAAUAGAAAUAUGUGAAGAGGUAGUAGUGACGAGAUAACAAGUCUUAAGCAGUGGGAUUUGAGGAUCUUGUCCUCAACAAGAAAAUUUAUUGAGGUGCUUGGAGUAGCAAGAAGGUGUUCUUAACAACUGAGGUAAAGGCAAAACUAUACAGUGAGGGUGGCGAGCUCGAGGCAUGGAUUACAUGUUAGGGGAUUGUCACGAUGUUUUGGUUUAAAAAUAUUUCAUUUAAGAUUAUGAUUCAAAUAGUUUUUGUAAGGCUUUAUAUUUUAAAGUUAUGAAUAAAUAAAUGUUUUGUUUUAAAAAUAA